GACGAACGUUGGCGGCGUGCUUAAUACAUGCAAGUCCACUGAAGCAGUGGUAGCAAUAUCGCUGUGGAGGUGGCGCACGGGUGAGUAACACGUAGGUAAUCCGCCUUCAGGUCUGGCAUAACUCCGGGAAACCGGGGCUAAUAGCAGAUGAUGCAGCGGCUCGACAUCGAGACAGUUGUUAAAGCUAUGGCGCCUGAAGAUGAGCCUGCGUCUGAUUAGCUAGUUGGCGGGGUAACGGCCCACCAAGGCAACGAUCAGUAGCUGGUCUGAGAGGAUGAUCAGCCACACUGGAACUGAGACACGGUCCAGACUCCUACGGGAGGCAGCAGUAAGGAAUAUUGCUCAAUGGGAGAAAUCCUGAAGCAGCAACGCCGCGUGAGGGACGAAGGGCUUUUGCUUGUAAACCUCUGUAGUGAGAGAAAAAAAUCCCAAUCUUUGGGACAUGAUGGUAUCUCAAAAGUAAGCCCCGGCUAACUACGUG
rnacentral:rRNA from 1 species